rnacentral:misc_RNA from 1 species
GAGUCCACUAAAAUACUAGUAACAGGCAUGAUUUCAGAGAGAAGUUCACUAACAGGUUUUGUGGUUGGAAAGCUAGGAGGGGCAGAAGAUGAACUUGCAGCAUCAGUAAAUGCAGAACGGAGGCCUGUGAUUAUCUCACAUAAGAGGCUCUCAUCUAUGCCAGCACCAACCUUCAAAUCGCUCAAAUUGUAAUACUUCUCAAGCUUACUUGAAGAAGCAGAACAAUGAGGAGGGUGAAGGACAUUGAAGAAGAAAAUGGAAACUGAAUCAUAAUAAAACUGUGGUCGGGACGAGUUGUGAUCACCAUCAAACUUUAUCAUAUUUUUGUCCCCU